rnacentral:rRNA from 1 species
CUUGGUCAUUUAGAGGAAGUAAAAGUCGUAACAAGGUUUCCGUAGGUGAACCUGCGGAAGGAUCAUUACCUAGAGUUUGCAGACUUCGGUCUGCUACCUCUUACCCAUGUCUUUUGAGUACCUUCGUUUCCUCGGUGGGUCCGCCCGCCGGUUGGACAACAUUCAAACCCUUUGCAGUUGCAAUCAGCGUCUGAAAAAACUUAAUAGUUACAACUUUCAACAACGGAUCUCUUGGUUCUGGCAUCGAUGAAGAACGCAGCGAAAUGCGAUAAGUAGUGUGAAUUGCAGAAUUCAGUGAAUCAUCGAAUCUUUGAACGCACAUUGCGCCCCUCGGUAUUCCAUGGGGCAUGCCUGUUCGAGCGUCAUUUGUACCUUCAAGCUCUGCUUGGUGUUGGGUGUUUUGUCUCGCCUCCGCGCGCAGACUCGCCUUAAAACAAUUGGCAGCCGGCGCAUUGAUUUCGGAGCGCAGUACAUCUUGCGCUUUGCACUCAUAACGACGACGUCCAAAAGUACAUUUUUACACUCUUGACCUCGGAUCAGGUAGGGAUACCCGCUGAACUUAAGCAUAUCAAUAAGCGGAGGAA